rnacentral:rRNA from 1 species
UACUUUGGUGGCGGACCGGCGCACGGGUGCGUAACGCGUAUGCAACCUACCUUUAACAGGGGCAUAACACUGAGAAAUUGGUACUAAUUCCCCAUAACAUUCGAGAAGGCAUCUUCUUGGGUUAAAAACUCCGGUGGUUAAAGAUGGGCAUGCGUUGUAUUAGCUAGUUGGUGAGGUAACGGCUCACCAAGGCAACGAUACAUAGGGGGACUGAGAGGUUAACCCCCCACAUUGGUACUGAGACACGGACCAA